AUUGAACGCUGGCGGCAGGCCUAACACAUGCAAGUCGAACGAGUGGCGGACGGGUGAGUAAUGUCUGGGAAACUGCCUGAUGGAGGGGGAUAACUACUGGAAACGGUAUCUAAUACCGCAUACCAUCGGAUGUGCCCAGAGGGGAUUAGCUAGUAGGUGGGGUAACGGCUCACCUAGGCGACGAUCCCUAGCUGGUCUGAGGGGAGGACCAGCCACCAUGGAACUGAGACACGGUCCAGACUCCUACGGGAGGCAGCAGUGGGGAAUAUUGCACAAUGGGCGCAAGCCUGAUGAAGCAAUGCCGCGUGUAUGAAGAAGGCCUUCGGGUUGUAAAGUACUUUCAGCGGGGAGGCGUUACCCGCAGAAGAAGCACCGGCUAACUCCGUGCCAGCAGCCGCGGUAAUUC
rnacentral:rRNA from 1 species